UACGUAGGGGGCUAGCGUUGUCCGGAAUCAUUGGGCGUAAAGAGCGCGUAGGCGGCCCGGUAAGUCCGCUGUAAAAGUCAAAGGCUCAACCUUUGAAUGUCAGUGGAUACUGCCGGGCUAGAGUCCGGAAGAGGCGAGUGGAACUCCUGGUGUAGCGGUGGAAUGCGCAGAUAUCAGGAAGAACACCAACGGCGAAGGCAGCUCGCUGGGACGGUACUGACGCUGAGGCGCGAAAGCGUGGGGAGCGAACAGG
rnacentral:rRNA from 1 species